UGCAAGUUUUUGAUUUGCAUGUCUUUAGUGUAGGAAUAAAGCUGUUUGGGAAAAAAAAUGUAUCAGUUAAGCAAUUUUGCUAAAUGUAUGAAAAAAUGAAAUGUUAUGAGAUGAAGCAUGUAUUCAUUAUGAAAUUAAAUUGAUGUUUGAAGCUAAAAAAAAUUAUUCAGGCCAAACAUCAUUUUGAAUAUGUUAGCAGAUCAUAUCUUGAUUUAGUUGUGUGUUUGGUGAUAGCAGAAACCAAAGAGUUUCCAUCUGGAGGGAAGAAGGCAAAUGGUAUUUCCAAAUGACACAGGGUAACCUGCUCCUUUCUGCAGGAAAACAACACCACCAGACACAGCAGUUUGCUCUAGAUAGGAAAAUUCCCAUGGAGAACAUCUCAUUCCCAUGGAGAACAUCCCAUUCUUAUGGAGAACUUCCCAUUCUUAUGGAGAACUUCCCAUUAGAAAGGAGAACAUCCCAUUCCCAUGGAGAACAUCUCAUUCCUAUGGAGAACACCCCAUUCCCAUGGAGAACACCCCAUUCCCACAGAGAACAUCCCAUUCCCAUGGAGAACAUUCCAUUCCUAUGGAAAACAUCUCAUUCUUAUGAAGAACAUCCCAUUCCUGUGGAGAACAUCCCAUUACCAAGGAGAACACCCUAUUCCUAUGGAGAACAUCCCACUCCUGUGGAAAACACUUCAUUGCCUUAGAGAACAUCCCAUUCUCUUGGAGAACAACCCAUUCGCUCGGAGAACUUCCCAUUCCUAUGGAGAACAUUCCAUUACCAUGGAGAACAUCCCAUUCCUAUGGAGAACACCCCAUUCCCUUGGAGAACCUCCCAUUCCUACAGAGAACAUCCCAUUCCCUUGGAGAACAUCCCAUUACCGAGGAGAACAUCCCAUUCCCACAGCAAACAUCCCAUUCCCUUGGAGAACAUCCAUUCCCACAGAGAACAUUCAGCAUCCUGUGCUGCCUCUGCCCAGCACCACAGUGCCACGAGGUGUGAGAUCCAUGCUCAUGGUCCCAUUCCCAUCUGGGCUGGGAGCCUCCAGAUGGCCGGAGACACGAGGUUUUAUGUAG
rnacentral:lncRNA from 1 species